AACGAACGCUAGCGGCAUGCCUAACACAUGCAAGUCGAACGAGACCUUCGGGUCUGGUGGCUCACGGCUGCGUCACGCGUGGGAACCUGCCCUUAGGUUCGGACUACCUCCCCGAAAGGGGUGCUAAUACCGGCUAAUGUCUUCGGACCAAAGAUUUAUCGCCUUUGGAUGGGCCCGCGUUGUAUUAGCUAGUUGGUAGGGUAAAAGCCUACCAAGGCGACGAUCCAUAGCUGGUCUGAGAGGCUGAUCAGCCACACUGGGACUGAGACACGGCGCAGACUCCUACGGGAGGCAGCAGAGGGGAAUAUUGGACAAUGAGCGAAAGCCUGAUCCAGCAAUGCCGCGUGAGUGAUGAAGGCCUUAGGGUUGUAAAGCUCUUUUACCCGGGAUGAUAAUGACAGUACCGGGAGAAUAAGCUCCGGCUAACUCCGUG
rnacentral:rRNA from 1 species